rnacentral:rRNA from 1 species
UGGGGAAUCUUGCACAAUGGAGGCAACUCUGAUGCAGCGACGCCGCGUGAGCGAUGAAGCCCUUCGGGGUGUAAAGCUCUUUCGGCAGGGACGAUAAUGACGGUACCUGAAGAAGAAGCUGCGGCUAACUACGUGCCAGCAGCCGCGGUAAUACGUAGGCAGCGAGCGUUGUUCGGAAUUACUGGGCGUAAAGAGUGUGUAGGCGGUGCUCUAAGUUCGGUGUGAAAUCUCCUGGCUCAACUGGGAGGGUGCGCCGGAAACUGGAGUGCUUGAGCGUGGGAGAGGAAAGCGGAAUUCCUGGUGUAGCGGUGAAAUGCGUAGAUAUCAGGAGGAACACCUGUGGUGUAGACGGCUUUCUGGACCAUAGCUGACGCUGAGACACGAAAGCGUGGGUAGCAAACA